AAAGCUCUUUCGGCCGGGAAGAAAGUCGUUAUGGGUUAAUACCCGUGUGCGGAUGACGGUACCGGCAUAAGAAGCACCGGCUAACUACGUGCCAGCAGCCGCGGUAAUACGUAGGGUGCGAGCGUUAAUCGGAAUUACUGGGCGUAAAGCGUGCGCAGGCGGUUUUGUAAGACAGGCGUGAAAUCCCCGGGCUCAACCUGGGAACUGCGUUUGUGACUGCAAGGCUAGAGUACGGCAGAGGGGGGUGAAUUCCACGUGUAGCAGUGAAAUGCGUAGAGAUGUGGAGGAACACCAAUGGCGAAGGCAGCCCCCUGGGUCGAUACUGACGCUCAUGCACGAAAAGCGUGGGUAGCAAACAGGAUUAGAUACCCCUGGUAGUCCACGCCCUAAAACGAUGUCAACUAGGUGUUGGGUGGGUAAAACCAUUUAGUACCGGAGCUAACGCGUGAAGUUGACCGCCUGGGGAGUACGGCCGCAAGGUUAAAACUCAAAGGAAUUGACGGGG
rnacentral:rRNA from 1 species